rnacentral:misc_RNA from 1 species
GAAAUGCGAUAAGUAAUGUGAAUUGCAGAAUUCAGUGAAUCAUCGAAUCUUUGAACGCACAUUGCGCCCCUUGGUAUUCCGAGGGGCAUGCCUGUUCGAGCGUCAUUACAACCCUCAAGCACUGCUUGGUAUUGGACUCCGCUGCUUACACAGCGGGCCUUAAAAUUAGUGGCGGUGUCAUUAGGCCCUGAGCGUAGUAAAUAUCCUCGCUAUAGGGACUUGGUGAUUACUGGCCAGCAACUCCCACUUUCUAAGUUUGACCUCGGAUCAGGUAGGGAUACCCGCUGAACUUAA